rnacentral:lncRNA from 1 species
UUUGUGAUUUCUGCAUGGAUGGAAUUCAUGAUUCGUGUUUAGGAUAGAGAUAUGCCUUUACGCCAUAUGUAGUCUAAUAAGAACUUGAACUUAAACCCUUUUUAAUUGUAAUUCACAUAGAGAUAUAGUGGGUUAGUUAAUUAGGGUGUUCAAAUUGAUUCUAUCAUCUGUGGAUUUGAUUUGAUAUGAGUAUGGUGCAUUGAGAGAUGGCCAUAUUUUACUUUCGUGUUCUUGAUUAACAAUCCAGUAUAAAUAAUUUGGCUUAACAGGAAGUGUGUUGAUUUAAAUGUAACAAUAAGUGAAAUUGUAAUCUCAAGUCUUUAAUAUCUUGUUUCAUUCUAGGGAUAGUUAGUAAUAGUUUAUUUAAUUAUUUUAAAUUAAAUUAUUAAAUCAUUU